GUCUACAUGAUCAGGGGAUCAGCACUGUACGGGCCCAGUCAGCCUGGUUCAGCCCCAGCCCCAUGUUCAGCUCUAGCCCCAGUCCUAACCCCAGUCAGCCUGGUUCAGCCCCAGCCCCAUGUUCAGCUCUAGCCCCAGUCAUAACCCCAGUCUGCCUGGUUCAGCCCCAGUCCCAUGUUCAGCUCUAGCCCCAGCCCUAAUCCCAGUCAGCCUGGUUCAGCCCCAUGUUCAGCUCUAGCCCCAGUCCUAACCCCAGACAGUCUGGUUCAGCCCCAUGUUCAGCUCUAGCCCCAGUCCUAACCCCAGACAGUCUGGUUCAGCCCCAUGUUCAGCUCUAGCCUCAGUCCUAACCCCAGUCAGCCUGGUUCAGCCCCAGCCCCAUGUUCAGCUCUAGCCUCAGUCCUAACCCCAGUCAGCCUGGUUCAGCCCCAUCCCCAUGUUCAGCUCUAGCCCCAGUCCUAACCCCAGACAGUCUGGUUCAGCCCCAUGUUCAGCUCUAGCCCCAGUCCUAACCCCAGACAGUCUGGUUCAGCCCCAUGUUCAGCUCUAGCCCCAGUCCUAACCCCAGUCAGCCUGGUUCAGCCCCAUGUUCAGCUCUAGCCCCAGUCCUAACCCCAGUCAGCCUGGUUCCGCCCCAUGUUCAGCUCUAGCCCCAGUCCUAACCCCAGACAGUCUGGUUCAGCCCCAUGUUCAGCUCUAGCCCCAGUCCUAAACCCAGACAGUCUGAUUCAGCCCCAUGUUCAGCUCUAGCCCCAGUCCUAAACCCAGACAGUCUGGUUCAGCCCCAUGUUCAGCUCUAGCCCCAGUCCUAACCCCAAACAGUCUGGUUCAGCCCCAUGUUCAGCUCUAGCCCCAGUCAUAAACCCAGACAGUCUGGUUCAGCCCCAUGUUCAGCUCUAGCCCCAGUCCUAAACCCAGACAGUCUGGUUCAGCCCCAUGUUCAGCUCUAGCCCCAGUCCUAAACCCAGACAGUCUGGUUCAGCCCCAUGUUCAGCUCUAGCCCCAGUCCUAAACCCAGACAGUCUGGUUCAGCCCCAUGUUCAGCUCUAGCCCCAGUUCUAACCCCAAAGUCUGGUUCAUCCCCAUGUUCAGCUCUAGCCCCAGUCCUAAACCCAGACAGUCUGGUUCAGCCUCAUGUUCAGCUCUAGCCCCAGUCCUAAACCCAGACAGUCUGGUUCAGCCCCAUGUUCAGCUCUAGCCCCAGUCCUAACCCCAGACAGUCUGGUUCAGCCCCAUGUUCAGCUCUAGCCCCAGUCCUAAACCCAGACAGUCUGGUUCAGCCCCAUGUUCAGCUCUAUCCCCAGUCCUAAACCCAGACAGUCUGGUUCAGCCCCAUGUUCAGCUCUAGCCCCAGUCCUAAACCCAGACAGUCUGGUUCAGCCCCAUGUUCAGCUCUAGCCCCAGUCCUAAUCCCAGUCAGCCUGGUUCAGCCCCAUGUUCAGCUCUAGCCCCAGUCCUAACCCCAGACAGUCUGGUUCAGCCCCAUGUUCAGCUCUAGCCCCAGUCAUAACCCCAGACAGUCUGGUUCAGCACCAUGUUCAGCUCUAGCCCCAGUCCUAUCCCAGUCAGCCUGGUUCAGCCCCAUGUUCAGCUCUAGCCCCAGUCCUAACCCCAGACAGUCUGGUUCAGCUCCACGUUCAGCUCUAGCCCCAGUCCUAACCCCAGACAGUCUGGUUCAGCACCAUGUUCAGCUCUAGCCCCAGUCCUAACCCCAGACAGUCUGGUUCAGCCCUAUGUUCAGCUCUAGCCCCAGUCCUAACCCCAGACAGACGGGGCUAAACUAAAGAAGGGGUGAGCCUGAUGCAGCCUUCCGCAGCCCCAGUCCUAACCCCAGACAGACGGGGCUAAACUAAUGAAGGGGUGAGCCUCAUGCAGCCUUCCGCAGCCCCAGUCCUAACCCCAGACAGACGGGGCUAAACUAAAGAAGGGGUGAGCCUCAUGCAGCCUUCCGCAGCCCCAGUCCUAACCCGAGACAGACGGG
rnacentral:lncRNA from 1 species